AGCAUAACAAAUAACAAAUUGUAUAUAAACAAAAACAACUAAUUAAAUCGUGUAUUAUUAAUUAAUUAAGUAAAAUUAAAGUCUAAUGUAAUAAAUAAUUAAAUGAAAUAUGUCUAAACUAUUAGAUAAUUUACCGGAGCUCGUUUCGUUUGUAGAAGUUACUGGAUUAAAAAUAUCACCAGCAGUUAUAAAAAUCAUUUGUGAGUUAUUGGACUUGCGGGUUGCUCCAGAAGACAUUUACAAAAUUCUAAGAGAUUUAUCUGUGCCUCGAAAGACCGACGAGGCUGGAAGUUCGACUGUGUGAUGAAUAUUAAUUAAAUAAUUAAAACAAGAUAUUAAGAGUAAACAUAAAUUUUAUUUUGGAGAUGGUUAAAGGUGGUGAGUUGACGUUAAUUGUUUCGAAUUUGGAAUCAUCCAUGUCAAGAUUAUAAGUAAGCAAGCGGCCAAGUACAUCACGAAUUUUUCUAGCAGGAGUUUUUUCUGGACACUCAGGCUGAAAACAAUUAAGCUAUUAAUUUUCAUGUACAGCACUUGAUCUAAAAAAUAUAAAAAAUUAACGGAAAAUUUA